rnacentral:lncRNA from 1 species
UUCCUCCUUGGCGUGAACAAAAGAGAAGACCGUUCUCCUCUUGGGUGAGAGACCUAGAAUUAUUUUAAAUUUUUGGAUGGAAAAAAAAAUCAAAGAGAAGAGAGUCUUCAUCUAAAUUUUCUCCACCAUCCAGCAUCCUUCUCUGAUCUAUCUUUGAUAGCGAAAAGGUUCGAGGUGAUCAAAGAAGGAGAUCAAAUUAGAUCUGCCAUCAGAAGCCGACUGCGUGAGCUAGCAUUCUCAUGGAGGGCUGAUUGGUUCGAGCGGCUUCAUGUUGACCAUCCGUAGAGGUCAGAUACUUGUGCGGCUGCUCGGCAUCAACGAGAGC